GGUUAAGCGACUAAGCGUACACGGUGGAUGCCCUGGCAGUCAGAGGCGAUGAAGGACGUGCUAAUCUGCGAAAAGCGUCGGUAAGGUGAUAUGAACCGUUAUAACCGGCGAUGUCCGAAUGGGGAAACCCAGUGCAAUUCGUUGCACUAUCGUUAACUGAAUACAUAGGUUAACGAGGCGAACCGGGGGAACUGAAACAUCUAAGUACCCCGAGGAAAAGAAAUCAACCGAGAUUCCCCCAGUAGCGGCGAGCGAACGGGGAGCAGCCCAGAGUCUGAAUCAGCUUGUGUGUUAGUGGAACGGUCUGGAAAGUCCGACGGUACAGGGUGAUAGUCCCGUACACCAAAAUGCACAGGCUGUGAACUCGAAGAGUAGGGCGGGACACGUGGUAUCCUGUCUGAAUAUGGGGGGACCAUCCUCCAAGGCUAAAUACUCCUGACUGACCGAUAGUGAACCAGUACCGUGAGGGAAAGGCGAAAAGAACCCCGGCGAGGGGAGUGAAAAAGAACCUGAAACCGUGUACGUACAAGCAGUGGGAGCACCUUCGGGUGUGACUGCGUACCUUUUGUAUAAUGGGUCAGCGACUUAUAUUCUGUAGCAAGGUUAACCGUAUAGGGGAGCCGCAGGGAAACCGAGUCUUAACUGGGCGUUAAGUUGCAGGGUAUAGACCCGAAACCCGGUGAUCUAGCCAUGGGCAGGUUGAAGGUUGGGUAACACUAACUGGAGGACCGAACCGACUAAUGUUGAAAAAUUAGCGGAUGACUUGUGGCUGGGGGUGAAAGGCCAAUCAAACCGGGAGAUAGCUGGUUCUCCCCGAAAGCUAUUUAGGUAGCGCCUCGUGAAUUCAUCUUCGGGGGUAGAGCACUGUUUCGGCUAGGGGGUCAUCCCGACUUACCAACCCGAUGCAAACUACGAAUACCGAAGAAUGUUAUCACGGGAGACACACGGCGGGUGCUAACGUCCGUCGUGAAGAGGGAAACAACCCAGACCGCCAGCUAAGGUCCCAAAGUCAUGGUUAAGUGGGAAACGAUGUGGGAAGGCACAGACAGCCAGGAUGUUGGCUUAGAAGCAGCCAUCAUUUAAAGAAAGCGUAAUAGCUCACUGGUCGAGUCGGCCUGCGCGGAAGAUGUAACGGGGCUAAACCAUGCACCGAAGCUGCGGCAGCGACACUAUGUGUUGUUGGGUAGGGGAGCGUUCUGUAAGCCUGCGAAGGUGACCUGUGAGGGUUGCUGGAGGUAUCAGAAGUGCGAAUGCUGACAUAAGUAACGAUAAAGCGGGUGAAAAGCCCGCUCGCCGGAAGACCAAGGGUUCCUGUCCAACGUUAAUCGGGGCAGGGUGAGUCGACCCCUAAGGCGAGGCCGAAAGGCGUAGUCGAUGGGAAACAGGUUAAUAUUCCUGUACUUGGUGUUACUGCGAAGGGGGGACGGAGAAGGCUAUGUUAGCCGGGCGACGGUUGUCCCGGUUUAAGCAUGUAGGCUGAUUGUCCAGGCAAAUCCGGAUAAUCAAGGCUGAGGUGUGAUGACGAGGCACUACGGUGCUGAAGUAACAAAUGCCCUGCUUCCAGGAAAAGCCUCUAAGCAUCAGGUAACAUCAAAUCGUACCCCAAACCGACACAGGUGGUCAGGUAGAGAAUACCAAGGCGCUUGAGAGAACUCGGGUGAAGGAACUAGGCAAAAUGGUGCCGUAACUUCGGGAGAAGGCACGCUGGUGUGUAGGUGAAGCCCCUGCGGGUGGAGCUGAGACCAGUCGAAGAUACCAGCUGGCUGCAACUGUUUAUUAAAAACACAGCACUGUGCAAACACGAAAGUGGACGUAUACGGUGUGACGCCUGCCCGGUGCCGGAAGGUUAAUUGAUGGGGUUAUCCGUAAGGAGAAGCUCUUGAUCGAAGCCCCGGUAAACGGCGGCCGUAACUAUAACGGUCCUAAGGUAGCGAAAUUCCUUGUCGGGUAAGUUCCGACCUGCACGAAUGGCGUAAUGAUGGCCAGGCUGUCUCCACCCGAGACUCAGUGAAAUUGAACUCGCUGUGAAGAUGCAGUGUACCCGCGGCAAGACGGAAAGACCCCGUGAACCUUUACUAUAGCUUGACACUGAACAUUGAGCCUUGAUGUGUAGGAUAGGUGGGAGGCUUUGAAGCGUGGACGCCAGUCUGCGUGGAGCCAACCUUGAAAUACCACCCUUUAAUGUUUGAUGUUCUAACGUUGGCCCCUGACCGGGGUUGCGGACAGUGUCUGGUGGGUAGUUUGACUGGGGCGGUCUCCUCCCAAAGCGUAACGGAGGAGCACGAAGGUUAGCUAAUCCUGGUCGGACAUCAGGAGGUUAGUGCAAUGGCAUAAGCUAGCUUGACUGCGAGCGUGACGGCGCGAGCAGGUGCGAAAGCAGGUCAUAGUGAUCCGGUGGUUCUGAAUGGAAGGGCCAUCGCUCAACGGAUAAAAGGUACUCCGGGGAUAACAGGCUGAUACCGCCCAAGAGUUCAUAUCGACGGCGGUGUUUGGCACCUCGAUGUCGGCUCAUCACAUCCUGGGGCUGAAGUAGGUCCCAAGGGUAUGGCUGUUCGCCAUUUAAAGUGGUACGCGAGCUGGGUUUAGAACGUCGUGAGACAGUUCGGUCCCUAUCUGCCGUGGGCGCUGGAGAAUUGAGGGGGGCUGCUCCUAGUACGAGAGGACCGGAGUGGACGCAUCACUGGUGUUCGGGUUGUCAUGCCAAUGGCACUGCCCGGUAGCUAAAUGCGGAAGAGAUAAGUGCUGAAAGCAUCUAAGCACGAAACUUGCCCCGAGAUGAGUUCUCCCUGAGACUUUAAGUCUCCUGAAGGAACGUUAAAGACGAUGACGUUGAUAGGCCGGGUGUGUAAGCGCAGCGAUGCGUUGAGCUAACCGGUACUAAUGAACCGUGAGGCUUAACCUU
rnacentral:rRNA from 1 species